UCCCUAUGGGGUGCAGCAGGCGCGAAAACUUUACAAUGCGGGAAACCGUGAUAAGGGAACUCCGAGUGCCCGUUAAAUCGGGCUGUCCAUCUGUGUAAAUAACAGGUGAAGAAAGGGCCGGGCAAGACCGGUGCCAGCCGCCGCGGUAAUACCGGCGGCUCGAGUGGUGGCCACUAUUACUGGGCUUAAAGCGUUCGUAGCUGGUUUGUUAAGUCUCUGGGGAAAUCUUCCGGCUUAACCGGAAGGCGUCUCAGGGAUACUGGCAGACUAGGGACCGGAAGAGGUGAGGGGUACUCCAGGGGUAGGAGUGAAAUCCUGUAAUCCUUGGGGGAUCACCUGUGGCGAAGGCGCCUCACCAGAACGGCUCCGACAGUGAGGGACGAAAGCUGGGGGAGCAAACCGGAUUAGAUACCCGGGUAGUCCCAGCCGUAAACGAUGUGCGUUAGGUGUAUCGGUGACCACGAGUCACCGAGGUGCCGAAGAGAAAUCGUGAAACGUACCGCCUGGGAAGUACGGUCGCAAGGCUGAAACUUAAAGGAAUUGGCGGGGGAGCACCACAACAGGUGGAGCCUGCGGUUUAAUCGGACUCAACGCCGGAAAACUCACCAGAUAAGACAGCUGAAUGAUAGUCGGGCUGAAGACUCUACUUGACUAGCUGAGAGGAAGUGCAUGGCCA
rnacentral:rRNA from 1 species